GAUCAUUCAAUAGAGUGUAACCUCAAUCGGUUUUUGCAGCUUCUGGGUCCCGUGUAGAACGAUUUUUUUUUCUUUUCCAACUCGAUUUUUAACUCCCUAAACUAGUAGGAUGUUCCAACGGGUGAAGCAACAGUGCUGACGGCAGUUUCAGUGUCAAGUUUUCAUGCCAUGACCACUGGGGCGGAAACCAUUAUGACAUUGCCUUGGACAUCAAACUAAACCAUCUCAUUCUGGCUUUUGAGGUGGAUUCUAACCUCGAAAUCUCAGAAGGACAGGUCUAAGAUGGACGCAGCCUCCAUAGGAUGCAACCUUGCAUUUGAGAAACACCCAUAGAACGGUCAACUUACCCCAUACUCUAACCUGAAUGCAGGGAUCAUAAAACUUUAUCUUUUACCUUAAUUGUUAGAUGGGUGUUGAUACCAAACUUUUUUUCUCGUCUACCCAGGAGAAAGUCAUGGUGUUCUGCUGCUAAGCGUCUUUUAUUCUGCUUACCUGACUCAUGCAGAAUUCUGGCUUGAUGUUUGGUCCACCUGUUAGCUGGCUCUGGUGCUUGGUAGUCUUCUCAAACCUCUGAAUCAAGACCACCAUGAGAGGCCUUCUGAAGACCAUCAUUACGCUUCAGAUCCAGUUGUCUUUACUUUGAGCCUACCACAAUCCCUGUGCACCAGCUAUGGAAAGUGCAGACCAAACUUCUACCUCCACCUAUAGAACUGAACUGGAGUCUAUGAACUAAUGCUGUGUUCGAGACAACUUGGAUGUUGGAUAUUAUUGACCUUAAACCCGUAAGAAGUCAGGAACAGGAAACAAAGUGGAGUAUCCGACCUCUCAACUUGGACCAGAUCGAUCAACACCGACCUCAACGAGAUGCGUCAUUUGACAUUGCAGACAAGGUGGUGGCUAGCCUUUCACAGCCUUACAUGAACCGCAAACAAACUUUAAACAGCACGUAAUAUAGAUGAACAUGAAUGUUAAAUUAUCCAGUAACCGUUUUCUGCCAUAAUUGGCACAAGAGCACAAACUUCUCCUGGCGUCUCAUUAUGUGGUAAACACGCAAAUGUGAUACGUGAUUGACUGGAAUGCAUUGAGGUCGGAGGUAGGAUAUUUAAUGACAUAACAUCAGAAAUCAGAGUUGUCUGUAACACUGCACAAUAUUUCACCUAAUUGUUAGCACCUGAUUAUCAUGUUUUUAACACAACCAUUGAUUGGUCACACGGAUGAAGGCAGCAAACAGAGACAUUUGUCCUUUGUAUCUCUCUCUCAAAAAAUAAAUCUAUAUUUAAUGUUAAAAAACACUUACAGUAGACUGUGUUAGAUAACUGUGCUCUUGGAAGUCAGCUUAAGUGAACAAAUGGUAAUGUUAAUGAAAAGUUCAUUUUUGUCACUGUUGCAAACUAACCACCACACAGAAUAUGAAGAAUAGCCAGAACUGUGGUAAUAAGCUAGCCCUAAAAUGUUGGGAGAAUCUUGAUGUAUUGGACACAGGUGUGUAGUAUCUGUUAUAUAUUGACGGUUGACAGGUUUGUUUGCAUGUAAUUGCAUUAUUAUUAAUUUGGUGUUGAUAGUCCAAUGUUGAUUUGGGAGAAAUAUU